UGGGGAAUAUUGGACAAUGGGCGCAAGCCUGAUCCAGCCAUGCCGCGUGUGUGAAGAAGGCCUUCGGGUUGUAAAGCACUUUCAGCGAGGAGGCGUUACUCGCAGAAGAAGCACCGGCUAACUCUGUGCCAGCAGCCGCGGUAAUACAGAGGGUGCAAGCGUUAAUCGGAAUUACUGGGCGUAAAGCGCACGUAGGCGGUUUGUUAAGUUGGAUGUGAAAGCCCGGGCUCAACCUGGGAAUUGCAUUCAAAACUGGCCAACUAGAGUAUGUGAGAGGGGGUAGAAUUCCAAGUGUAGCGGUGAAAUGCGUAGAGAUUUGGAGGAAUACCAGUGGCGAAGGCGGCCCCCUGGCACAAUACUGACGCUGAGGUGCGAAAGCGUGGGGAGCAAACAGGAUUAGAUACCCUUGUAGU
rnacentral:rRNA from 1 species